CCAGCAUGCAGCAGCAACCUGCUCUGCUGCCCUUCUAUGUUGUGCAAGGCUUGUUCUUAUAAACUGAAGAGGUAAUCAAUCACUCUGGAGAUUUCUACAAGAAAACAGGGCUGGAGCAGUGAAGAGAAAUUACAUGAAUAUAGAUUUCUGUCAAUGUAUCAAAGAACUUCUUAAGAGACACAGC